GAUGAACGCUGGCGGCGUGCCUAAUACAUGCAAGUCGAGCGAAUGGAUUAAGAGCUUGCUCUUAUGAAGUUAGCGGCGGACGGGUGAGUAACACGUGGGUAACCUGCCCAUAAGACUGGGAUAAAUCCGGGAAACCGGGGCUAAUACCGGAUAACAUUUUGAACCGCACGGUUCGAAAUUGAAAGGCGGCUUGGACUGUCCCAUAUGGAUGGACCCGGGUCGCAGUAGCUAGUUGGUGAGGUAACGGCUCACCAAGGCAACGAUGCAUAGCCGACCUGAGAGGGUGAUCGGCCACACUGGUGCGGAGACACGGCCCAGACUCCUACGGGAGGCAGCAGUGGGGAAUCUUCCGCAAUGGACGAAAGUCUGACGGAGCAACGCCGCGUGAGUGAUGAAGGCUUUCGGGUCGUAAAACUCUGUUGUUAGGGAAGAACAAGUGCUAGUUGAAUAAGCUGGCACCUUGACGGUACCUAACCAGAAAGCCACGGCUAACUACGUGCCAGCCGCCGCGGUAA
rnacentral:rRNA from 1 species